UGCAGCCCUUAAACAAAAUGAAAAUCAAGCGCUAAACAAAACUAGCUAGGUGGCCGAACGAUAUUAAGAAUCGGCUAUGAAUCAUCGUUCAAAUGAUGCAUGCGAAUUUGGCAUUCAGAGUAGAUAAAUAGAUAUGGAAGUCGCCCUUUUUUUGUUUUUUGUUUUUUUUUUGUUUUUUGUAAUCGAUUAUACCAACGCGAGAGUCGCCUUCAGGCUGGCAAAUUCCAUUCACUUGUCAGCAUGUGGAACGAGUCGGACGAUGGCGUUCAACCAUAAACGUAUAUAACCAUCAGCCUGAGCCCAGAGUUACGCACAACGUACACGAGCCACACACACACACACACACACACAGAAAACACACCACAAAAAGAAAACAAAGUCAACUUGUUUUGCGAAAGAGACCGCCAUGCGGCCUUCGGGAAGAAGAAAAAAGAAGAAAAAGAAAAAGAAAAACGGCAUCUCCUUCAAUUGGUCAGUGUAUACUUCAUCGCCGAGCAUCAGAAUGCGUUUCCAUCAAUUUGAGCCGCUAGUUAGGUCCGUCGUCAACGUCUCCAAUACAUACAGACGAUUUGCCGGCCCGUUGAAGAUACCGCGCCGCCUACCGCCGUGUGAUGCAUCCAACUUAAAACCGUUGCCCCUCCUAUACAUCGUCUAUCCUUUUUUGCGUUUUUUUGUUUUUGUUUUUAACAUUUUAUUUAUGAAUUGAAAAGCGGCGGCGAAAGCGCAGCGGCACAGAUCCGGCCUUACAAUCAUCAAUUUUGUAUGUGUGUGUGUGUGUUGUUGCUGGAAUUGUGCGGCACUUGUAUGCAUUAUACAUUACUGCAUCAAAUUACAAUCAUCGACUAAA